GAUGAAGAACGUAGCGAAAUGCGAUACUUGGUGUGAAUUGCAGAAUCCCGUGAACCAUCGAGUCUUUGAACGCAAGUUGCGCCUCAAGCCAUUAGGUUGAGGGCACGUCUGCCUGGGCGUCACAUAUCGUUGCCUGAUGCCAGUUUCCUCGUGAUGGGUGACUGUGCAGGGCGAAUGAUGGCUUCCCGUGAGCAUUGUUGCCUCAUGGUUGGUUGAAAAUCGAGUGCAUGGUGUCGGGUGUACCAUGAUGGAUGGUGGUUGAGUGAUGAUGCUCGAGACCAAUCAUGGGUAACUCCACCAGAAUUGGGCUUGGUGACCCACAUGCGUCCCUUGGAUGCUCCCUAAGGAGACCUCAGGUCAGGCGGGGCUACCCGCUGAGUUUAAGCAUAUCAAUAAGCGGAGGA
rnacentral:misc_RNA from 1 species